GUGCCAGCCGCCGCGGUAAUACGGAGGAUCCAAGCGUUAUCCGGAAUCAUUGGGUUUAAAGGGUCCGUAGGCGGUUUUGUAAGUCAGUGGUGAAAGCCCAUCGCUCAACGGUGGAACGGCCAUUGAUACUGCAAGACUUGAAUUAUUGGGAAGCAACUAGAAUAUGUAGUGUAGCGGUGAAAUGCUUAGAGAUUACAUGGAAUACCAAUUGCGAAGGCAGGUUGCUACCAAUACAUUGACGCUGAUGGACGAAAGCGUGGGGAGCGAACAGGAUUAGAAACCCGCGUAGUCC
rnacentral:rRNA from 1 species